UACGUAGGGGGCAAGCGUUGUCCGGAAUCAUUGGGCGUAAAGAGCGCGUAGGCGGCCCUGUAAGUCCGCUGUGAAAGUCAAGGGCUCAACCCUUGAAUGCCGGUGGAUACUGCAGGGCUAGAGUCCGGAAGAGGAGAGUGGAAUUCCUGGUGUAGCGGUGAAAUGCGCAGAUAUCAGGAGGAACACCUGUGGCGAAAGCGGCUCACUGGACCAUAACUGACGCUGAUGCACGAAAGCUAGGGGAGCAAACAGG
rnacentral:rRNA from 1 species